GAUUGGUCCUUCUUCCACACUAAGCACCAGUUUCUACCUGAAAGCCGGCAUCUACUUCAAUGAGCAAACUUCUCCUCACAGCCUGCAGGUGACUGUCAAACUGAGUGAACUGAGCAUAUUUUGAGGAGAGGAAUCCAAGGAAAGAGCCACAGGACCUGAGGCCUCCAAACUGGUAGAGCUGUUCCUCUGUCAGAUGCUUGAUACAUAGGCAGGACAU
rnacentral:lncRNA from 1 species